GCCUUCGUGGUGUAGUGGUCAGCACGCUCGACGCGUAUUCAAGAGGUGCGUGGUUCGAGUCCCGGCGAGGCCA
rfam:Stegodyphus mimosarum contig106050, whole genome shotgun sequence.